AGUGAACGCUGGCGGUAGGCCUAACACAUGCAAGUCGAACGGCAGCACAGAGGAGCUUGCUCCUUGGGUGGCGAGUGGCGGACGGGUGAGGAAUACAUCGGAAUCUACUCAGUCGUGGGGGAGAACGUAGGGAAACUGACGCUAAUACCGCAUACGACCUACGGGUGAAAGCAGGGGACCUUCGGGCCUUGCGCGAUUGAAUGAGCCGAUGUCGGAUUAGCUAGUUGGCGGGGUAAAGGCCCACCAAGGCGACGAUCCGUAGCUGGUCUGAGGGGAUGAUCAGCCACACUGGAACUGAGACACGGUCCAGACUCCUACGGGAGGCAGCAGUGGGGCAUAUUGGACAAUGGGCGCAAGCCUGAUCCAGCCAUACCGCGUGGGUGAAGAAGGCCUUCGGGUUGUAAAGCCCUUUUGUUGGGAAAGAAAUCCAGCUGGCUAAUACCCGGUUGGGAUGACGGUACCCAAAGAAUAAGCACCGGCUAACUUCGUGCCAGCAGCCGCGGUAA
rnacentral:rRNA from 1 species